CUAGCAAGUCUAACCCGACAAAAAGAACUUAAGCCGGACCCCCCGAAACCAAACGAGCUACCUCCAAGCAACCCACUAGUUAAUCCCCUUCUGUGGCAAAAGAACGGAGAGACUUGAAGGUAGCGGCAAUAAACCUAACGAGUUUGUAUAUAGCUGGUUACUUGAGAAAUGAACUUCAGUUCAACCAAAAGCACCAAGACGACUUAAUAAAUAAAUCAUACUUUUGUCAUAAUGAAUUAGGGUACAGCCUAAUCAAUAAGGGAAACAACCCACACGAAUGAAUAACGAUUAUAAUAUACCAGGACCACCGCCCAGUGGGCUUAAAAGCAGCCACCAAAAUAACGUUAAAGCUUAACCACACUUAACCAAACAUCCCACUAAAUAAUCUAAACUCAACACAACAAUCAAGUUAAUCUACAUUAGAUAAAUUAUUACUAGAAUAAGUAACAAGGACAUACCCUCAAAAUACAUGUGUAAAUCAAAAUGAAUAUAUCACUGAUAUUUAACAGAUAUGUUAAUAUAAACUGUCAACCCAACACAGGAGUAUUUAAGACGACCCUAAUCUUGGGAAGGAACUCGGCAAACCUGGGCCC
rnacentral:rRNA from 1 species